UAUAUACUACCACCCCCACAAUAACACAUUCAAAAGCACCAUUUAUCAGAAUGAAAUCAUCAUUGUAAUAAUCAUCAUGCUGUUUUCAUCUACUCCACUAACUACUUUUUAUUUUAACAACUCAUCAUAUUUCAAUUUCCAAAUCAAUAUUCAGUAAAUUAUAUUGCUGAAUCAAUAGAUGGAUCGGAGGAGUAGCUUCCCGAUUUGAGGGGAAUGUUGUCUGGCUCGAAGUCAUUAUGUCUUCUCGAUCAUUUAAGUACUAUAGAUCGAACCAAUCCAAUUUAUAUUUUUAAAUCUAGUGUAAAUAUAUAUGAUCAUGAUGAGUUAGUGUCUUCGGACCAGGCUUCAUUCCCCCCAAUUUGGAAACCAAAAUUUGCAUUCCCUAAUUGUCUCUCUGUCGGUGUGUGCUGCUGAAGACUCAGAGAAUAUUUCUUGAGAAGAUGAGUAAACGUCACAAUUAGUUUGAAAGAGUUGAAAUGAUUAUUAAAGAAUUAGGUAACCUCACACAAAAUAAGGAUAAGAUCGACAUACACUGACUACACUUAUGAAAUCACAUUGGACAGUUGUUAGUGAUCAUCGAUAUCGUUAUCAAGUCUUAGUUUCUCUAGUGUCUACCAACAGUAAUGAAAUUCUAUGAGAUGUAAUUUGCAUUUGGUAUGCACAUGCGAUAGAUAGAUUGUAUAUAUAUAUUAAAAUCGUGUAAACUGUAGUGGAGGGUAUCGUGCUUUGAAGAUUUUAUGGAACAUAAAUUAGACAUACAUUCUGCUGUAUGGAUUAUAAACCUUUGAUUAUCUCUCAUCUACAUA